GUUUUUGUAUCUGAUACAUGGCUUCAGAGUCAGUUCACUCAGGUUGAGCUUCGGCGAUUGAAAUCUCACUUUAAUGCGAUGAAAAGAGAAAAUGGAGAUCUGAUGCUCGCAGACUUACCAUCUAAAAUGGCCAGGAUAAAGCACGUCGGUGAGAAUCUUACAGAACAAGAAAGAGAGUCGUUUCUAAGAGAUUCCUACAAAAGCUUGGAAGAAGAUGUUGAUUUCGAACUAUUUCUUCAGGUUUAUUUGAAAAUCCAAGCACAUGCUGCUGCAAGGAUGGGAAAUACUGCAAAGAGUUCAUCAGCUUUUGUCAAGUCAGCAACUUCUACAUUGCUCCACACAAUUAGUGAAUCUGAAAAGGCAUCAUAUGUUGCACACAUUAACAGCUAUCUUGCGGAUGAUGA
rnacentral:misc_RNA from 1 species